rnacentral:piRNA from 1 species
UGUUCAUGUCAUGACCUGGUCCU